GCAAACUUGGUCAUUUAGAGGAAGUAAAAGUCGUAACAAGGUCUCCGUAGGUGAACCUGCGGAGGGAUCAUUAUCGAGUGGUUGCCUUCUGGCUUCUACCCCUUGAAACCGUGGAAGGGAAGCAUGCUUUGGUGCCGUGAGCGCCAGAUUUAUACCGUAAGCAAGUUUGGCUCUGAACAAAACAUGAAACGAAAACUUUCAACAAACAGGCAAACUUGGUCAUUUAGAGGAAGUAAAAGUCGUAACAAGGUCUCCGUAGGUGAACCUGCGGAGGGAUCAUUAUCGAGUGGUUGCCUUCUGGCUUCUACCCCUUGAAACCGUGGAAGGGAAGCAUGCUUUGGUGCCGUGAGCGCCAGAUUUAUACCGUAAGCAAGUUUGGCUCUGAACAAAACAUGAAACGAAAACUUUCAACAAAGGAUCUCUUGGCUCUUGCAUCGAUGAAGAACGCAGC
rnacentral:misc_RNA from 1 species